rnacentral:rRNA from 1 species
GGCGUGGCUUCCGGAGCUAACGCGUUAAAUCGACCGCCUGGGGAGUACGGCCGCAAGGUUAAAACUCAAAUGAAUUGACGGGGGCCCGCACAAGCGGUGGAGCAUGUGGUUUAAUUCGAUGCAACGCGAAGAACCUUACCUGGUCUUGACAUCCACAGAACUUWCCAGAGAUGSAUUGGUGCCUUCGGGAACUGUGAGACAGGUGCUGCAUGGCUGUCGUCAGCUCGUGUUGUGAAAUGUUGGGUUAAGUCCCGCAACGAGCGCAACCCUUAUCCUUUGUUGCCAGCGGUUCGGCCGGGAACUCAAAGGAGACUGCCAGUGAUAAACUGGAGGAAGGUGGGGAUGACGUCAAGUCAUCAUGGCCCUUACGACCAGGGCUACACACGUGCUACAAUGGCAUAUACAAAGAGAAGCGACCUCGCGAGAGCAAGCGGACCUCAUAAAGUAUGUCGUAGUCCGGAUUGGAGUCUGCAACUCGACUCCAUGAAGUCGGAAUCGCUAGUAAUCGUAGAUCAGAAUGCUACGGUGAAUACGUUCCCGGGCCUUGUACACACCGCCCGUCACACCAUGGGAGUGGGUUGCAAAAGAAGUAGGUAGCUUAACCUUC